rnacentral:rRNA from 1 species
CACGUAGGGCGCAAGCGUUGUCCGGAAUUAUUGGGCGUAAAGAGCUCGUAGGCGGUCUGUUGCGUCCGCUGUGAAAACUCGGGGCUUAACCCCGAGCCUGCAGUGGAUACGGGCAGACUAGAGGUAGGUAGGGGAGAAUGGAAUUCCCGGUGUAGCGGUGAAAUGCGCAGAUAUUAGGAGGAACACCGGUGGCGAAGGCGCCACUCUGGGCCGAAACUGACGCUGAGGAGCGAAAGCGUGGGUAGCAAACAGG